UACGUAGGGUGCGAGCGUUAAUCGGAAUUACUGGGCGUAAAGUGUGCGCAGGCGGCCGCGCAAGUCGAGUGUGAAAGCCCCGAGCUUAACUUGGGAAUUGCGCUCGAAACUACGUGGCUGGAGUGUGGCAGAGGAAGGUGGAAUUCCACGUGUAGCGGUGAAAUGCGUAGAGAUGUGGAGGAACACCGAUGGCGAAGGCGGCAUCUGGACCGGCAUUGACGCUGAGGCGCGGAAAGCCAGGGGAGCAAACGGG
rnacentral:rRNA from 1 species